UGGCACCUCCAUAGUCCCAGAGCUGAAGCUGCUGUCUGCUCCUCUUUGGCUGGACUGAGACCUUGAUUCUACCAGAGGACAUCACUUUCUUCCAGACCACUCACUAAACGAUUAGCUCAGAUCUUUGAGUUGGAUGUGUUAUCCUUUACAUGGAGUUCUUCGGUAUUUACCUGAAUAAGCCUCAUGUCAUCAACUUUUCUUUCCUCAUUUGCACUUGGCCUUUGGAAAUGUGGAGAAUAUUGGUUCAGUUUCUUAUGCCAUUUAAAGAGCCGUAUUCAACCAGACACGGAUGCACUUCUCACACCAUGAACAGCUGAGCUGGGCGGCUUCUUAGAUGAGUUGGAUGUGCUCCUGUCCAGUUUCUGAAUGGCAGCUUGCUUGUAUUCUUUGAGACUGAUGUAGGUCUGCUGGUGAUCCUUAUGCUCUGUUCUAUGGGUCCUCUAAGGUCUGUCCACUCAGCUGGUCCGCCAGGGCCCUUUAUCAACUGGCAUGCUAAGAUGUUGCAGAUCUGUUGGCUCCCCAGAUGCUCGUCAUAUCGCUGUAACUCCUAAUUCCUCCUUGCUGCUCUCUCUCUGGAAGGCUGGAGCCUCCAGCUUGGAAUUUCCUCUAGGCCUACUGACUUGACAUUGGCUCACAACUGUCAAAUCGAACGUGGUGCUUUACUUUUUCUCCCUUGGGGUCAUUCUACCAGUGGUUCCUGGAGUUUAUAGUGUUCCACACAGUGCAGCCCGUCCUUCUAUUUGUUUCAAUGCACCAUGUGCAAA